UACGUAGGGGGCGAGCGUUGUCCGGAAUCAUUGGGCGUAAAGCGCGUGUAGGCGGUCCGGUAAGUCCGCUGUGAAAGUCGGGGGCUCAACCCUCGGAUGCCGGUGGAUACUGUCGGGCUUGAGUACGGAAGAGGCGAGUGGAAUUCCUGGUGUAGCGGUGGAAUGCGCAGAUAUCAGGAGGAACACCGAUGGCGAAGGCAGCUCGCUGGGACGGUACUGACGCUGAGGCGCGAAAGCGUGGGGAGCGAACAGG
rnacentral:rRNA from 1 species